rnacentral:rRNA from 1 species
GACGAACGCUGGCGGCGUGCCUAAUACAUGCAAGUUGAGCGCUGAAGGUUGGUACUUGUACCAACUGGAUGAGCAGCGAACGGGUGAGUAACGCGUGGGGAAUCUGCCUUUGAGCGGGGGACAACAUUUGGAAACGAAUGCUAAUACCGCAUAAAAACUUUAAACACAAGUUUUAAGUUUGAAAGAUGCAAUUGCAUCACUCAAAGAUGAUCCCGCGUUGUAUUAGCUAGUUGGCGAGGUAAAGGCUCACCAAGGCGAUGAUACAUAGCCGACCUGAGAGGGUGAUCGGCCACAUUGGGACUGAGACACGGCCCAAACUCCUACGGGAGGCAGCAGUAGGGAAUCUUCGGCAAUGGACGAAAGUCUGACCGAGCAACGCCGCGUGAGUGAAGAAGGUUUUCGGAUCGUAAAACUCUGUUGGUAGAGAAGAACGUUGGUGAGAGUGGAAAGCUCAUCAAGUGACGGUAACUACCCAGAAAGGGACGGCUAACUACGUG